UACGUAGGGUGCGAGCGUUGUCCGGAAUUAUUGGGCGUAAAGGGCUCGUAGGCGGCCAACUAAGUCGGAUGUGAAAUCCCCAAGCUUAACUUGGGAACUGCAUCCGAUACUGGAUGGCUUGAAUCCGGGAGAGGGAUGCAGAAUUCCAGGUGUAGCGGUGAAAUGCGUAGAUAUCUGGAGGAACACCGGUGGCGAAGGCGGCAUCCUGGACCAAUAUUGACGCUGAGGAGCGAAAGCCAGGGGAGCAAACGGG
rnacentral:rRNA from 1 species